AGACAAACUCUAAUCCUUAAAACAAAAACAGAAACAAAACAAAACAAAACAAAACAAAAAACACACUCUCUCUUUCUGUCUAUGACUCUCUAUCUCUAUCUCUCUCUGUGCCUUUUCAGCUUCUGUGCUUGCUUCUUCUUUCUUCUUAGGCUUCUGUGACACUCUGAACUGGUGGUUGUUCAAGAGGGUCAUUGUUUCUUGAGGAAUAUGCAAACACUGUAGUGUGACUGUCCUUAUAGAGUACAAUGCCUCUUGAACCACUCUACUCUGGUUGACACUCCAGAAAAGACCUGGCCAGUUGUUUUUUCUCUGUUUUUGAAGAGAUUUUGUGGAUAAGGCCAUUGUGUUAGAUCUUGUAAUUACUGACAUAUUAGGUCCAAAUCUGGUUAACUUGGUUUACAUGUGAUAGCUUAUAUAUAACCAAAGAGAGGAUUUUAGCUCCGAGAGCUUAAGUUUUCUUUUUCCUGGGCAUUUCUGUAAGUUUGUUGCAUAAGCAUGCCUCCGUGGUGGGGAAAGUCUUCAUCCAAAGAAGUAAAGAAGAAAACAAACAGGGAAAGUUUCAUUGAUUCAAUACACCGAAAGUUUAACAGUAGAUCAGGAGGGUCUCGCAGACGUUGUAGUGACACUGUUUCAGAAAGGGGGACUCGAUCCAGGGUGCCUUCAAGAUCACCAUCACCCUCCACACAAGUGUCACGCUGUCAAAGUUUUGCAGAAAGGCCUCAUGCCCAGCCGCUCCCACUUCCUGGGGUACACCUUCCUAGAAUUGGGCGUACUAACUCGGGAAUCAGUGCAUCAGCAAAGCCAGGAUUUGACAGAGGCUCUAAGUCGCAUUUUUUCCCCCUUCCAAGACCUGGAUGUGUCCUGAACAGGGCAGAUCCUGCGGAUGCUGAAGCUGAUAUAGCUACUGCUUCAUUUUCUAGUGAUAGCUCCAUUGAUAGUGAUGAUCCAUCUGACUCACGUUUCCUUAGCCCUCUAGCUUCUGACUAUGAAAAUGGUAACAGAACCACCAUGAACAGUCCUUCCAGUGGAAUGCACAAGGAUCAAUCCCCUGUUGUCAAUCUAAAGAACUCAAAGGAGAUAUUGAAACCAGUUAAUCCUUUCAAUAAUCCGCUUCUCUCUUCAUCACCUAAACGGAGACCUUUGCAUAUGCAAAAUAUACAGAUCCCUCCCCAUGGUGCUUUCUGUAGUGCUCCAGACAGUUCAAUGUCAAGUCCUUCUAGAAGUCCGAUGAGAGUGUUUAUGCCUGAGCAAGUUAUUAAUUCUAACUUCUGGGCGGGAAAAUCUUAUCCAGAUGUAGCUUCUGGGCACUGCUCUAGUCCAGGUUCAGGUCAUAAUUCUGGGCAUAAUUCAGUAGGGGGGGAUAUGUCAGGACAGCUGCUUUGGCCGCACAGCAGGUGUAGUCCCGAGUGUUCCCCAAUUCCUAGUCCCAGAAUGACAAGCCCUGGUCCUGGCUCCAGAAUACACAGUGGUGCUGUCACCCCUUUGCAUCCGCGAACUGGAGGAGCUGCCAUAGAUUCGCCUGCAACCCGGCCUGAUGAUGGCAAACAACAAAGCCACCGGUUACCCCUUCCUCCGUUAACAAUUUCAAAACCUUGUCCUUUUUCUCCCACGUAUUCAGCAGCUACAACUCCCUCAGUUCCACGGAGUCCUGGUAGGGCAGAAAAUCCAACAAGCCCUGGUUCACGAUGGAAGAAGGGACGUCUGCUAGGGAGGGGUACAUUUGGACAUGUAUAUCUCGGUUUUAACAGUGAAAGUGGCGAGAUGUGUGCAAUGAAAGAGGUUACUCUGUUUUCAGAUGAUGCAAAAUCAAAAGAAAGUGCACAGCAACUUGGCCAAGAAAUUGCACUGCUAAGCCGCUUACAGCAUCCAAAUAUAGUACAGUAUUAUGGAUCUCAGUCGGUAGAUGACAAAUUAUAUAUAUAUCUAGAGUAUGUAUCUGGCGGUUCCAUCUAUAAACUGCUUCAAGACUAUGGUCAACUUGGUGAAAUUGCCAUUCGCAGUUAUACUCAUCAAAUUUUGCAAGGCCUUGCAUAUCUUCAUAAUAAAAACACAGUCCAUAGGGACGUCAAAGGAGCAAAUAUUCUGGUAGACCCCAAUGGCCGAGUGAAACUAGCAGAUUUUGGAAUGGCAAAGCAUAUCUCUGGUCAGUCUUGUCCAUUAUCAUUCAAGGGAAGCCCUUACUGGAUGGCACCUGAGGUUAUCAAGAAUACAAUUAAAAAUGGUUGUAAUCUUGCUGUUGAUAUAUGGAGCCUUGGAUGCACUGUUUUAGAGAUGGCUACAGCAAAACCACCUUGGAGCCAGUAUGAAGGGGUUGCUGCCAUGUUUAAGAUUGGAAAUAGCAAGGAACUUCCUGAAAUUCCUGAUCAUCUGUCAGAGGAUGGAAAGGCUUUUGUGAAGCUGUGCUUGCAGCGUAAUCCAUUAUAUCGUCCUACAGCUGCUCAGCUUUUGGAGCACCCUUUCGUUAGGAACGCUGCACCACUGGAUAGAUCCAUUUUGAGUGCAGAUCCUUCAGAUGCACCACUGGUCAAUUCAAAUGCAGUGAGAUCUCUGGGCAUUGGAAAUGCACGAAAUCCUUCAUGCUUAGACUCAGAAGGAGUGGGAAUCCAUCAGUCUAGAGGGUCAAAAACUGCUUCAGUAUCCAGUGAUGCUCAUACGCCAAGAAAUAUAUCAUGCCCGGUUUCUCCCAUUGGGAGCCCUCUUCUACGUUCAAGGUCACCACAACAUCUGAGCGGAAGGAUGUCUCCCUCUCCCAUAUCUAGCCCUCGUACCACAUCUGGUUCAUCCACACCCCUUACUGGUGGUAGUGGUGCCAUCCCAUUUAAUCACCUGAAGCAGCCAACCAUCUACCUACAUGAAGGUGUAGGAAUGAUCCAAAGGGGUCAAAGCAGUUUCUAUGCUAAUGGCUGCACUCUCUAUCAUGAGCCAAAGCCUGAGUUAUUUCGAGGGAUGCCACAAGCUUCUCAUGCCUUCCAUGAUAUGAUUUCAUCUGAUAAUGGUGCUCCUGGAAACCAGAUGGGAUGGCCUCUCCAUGCUGACACCAAGGAAAUGCAUGCUAGACAGCUGGCUUUGGCUGAUCAUGUAUCUGAGCAACUCUUGAGGGAUCACAUAAAGAAAAAUUUAUCCAUGGAACAUAAUAACAGCUCACUGGUGCUUGGUCGCAGCAAUCAAAUCUGAUUUACACAUGAAUCCCUGACAAGAGCAGGAUUUUCAGGCAUGCUAGAUUGCUUUCUGAUGCUUCAAGGGCAUCAUAUUCAUGGCCAAUAUCAAUUUAUACUUAGGAAUUGAACUUGGGGAAGCAAUUGAAUAACUGUGGAUCUUAGAAGCCUAGAUGACAGCAGAGAUACAUGCUUUUGAAAUGACAUCACAAUUCAGUUGAUCAGUUCACAUGAAGAUGGCCUCAGAAGAUCCAGCAGUAAGGCAGCUCCUACUAUGAAGAACAUUUCUGCUUGUGUAAAGAAAUGUACAUUUUUACCACACCCAGGAAACAGAAAAGGUAUAAAAGCUGUUACCAUAUGGACUGUCAAAGCUUUUUUCAUUUUUUUAUUCAUUUUGGAAGGGGGGGAAUGAUGGCAACAGGGCAGGAUCUUUUGUACAGAAUGAUGGGGAUUCAUUAGUCAAGAUGGCAGUUUAGAAUUUGCUAGGCUUGGUCUUUUACUUUGUAUCUACAUUAUACCUCCAUCAAAUUGAAGAAAUCUGAUUCAUCUUGUA